GACGAACGCUGGCGGCGUGCUUAACACAUGCAAGUCGAACGGAAAGGCCCUGCUUUUGUGGGGUGCUCGAGUGGCGAACGGGUGAGUAACACGUGAGUAACCUGCCCUUGACUUUGGGAUAACUUCAGGAAACUGGGGCUAAUACCGGAUAGGAGCUCCUGCUGCAUGGUGGGGGUUGGAAAGUUUCGGCGGUUGGGGAUGGACUCGCGGCUUAUCAGCUUGUUGGUGGGGUAGUGGCUUACCAAGGCUUUGACGGGUAGCCGGCCUGAGAGGGUGACCGGCCACAUGGGGACUGAGAUACGGCCCAGACUCCUACGGGAGGCAGCAGUGGGGAAUAUUGCACAAUGGGCGGAAGCCGGAUGCAGCAACGCCGCGUGCGGGAUGACGGCCUUCGGGUUGUAAACCGCUUUCGCCUGUGGCGAAGCGUGAGUGACGGUAAUGGGUAAAGAAGCACCGGCUAACUACGU
rnacentral:rRNA from 1 species